AGCAGGGAGGUCCCAGGUUGCGCCCCGAAACUGCCAAGCCCCGAGCGGGCCGCGCCCCGAUCUGGGUUAACUACAGGUGAUGAGGCUGCAGCAGGUAGCCAGUGCCAAGACGGAGAGAUGAGUCAGCAGUUGGGAGUUCCUCGAUGCUUUUCCGGAGGAUCUGAGUUUAACGGCCAUCACUCAUCCUGGGAGACGUACAACUAACUUCCUGUUACAACAGCUCUGGAUCUGAUGCCCAGCUCUGACUCAGGCACCUCUGCACAUACAGCACACACAUGCACGCACACACACCACAACCUUUUACAUGGAGAACAAGCCAGUGAGCAACACUCCACGACUUCUGCUUUGUUUUCUGCCCUUCAGGUUCCUUCCUUGAUCCCUGCCCUGACUUCUCUAAAUAAUGGCCUACAAGUUGUGAGAUGAAAUAAGUCCCUCCCUCCCCAAGUUGCUUUUGGUCAUUGUACCGGUUGGUUCUGUGUGUCAACUUGACACAAGCUGGAGUUAUCACAGAGCAAGGAGCCUCCCUUGAGGAAAUGCCUCCAUGAGACCCAGCUCUCCUGCUUCCUGACCUUCGUGAGUUCCUGUACUGACUUCCUUUGGUGAUGAACAGCAGUGUGGAAGUGUGAGCUGAAUAAACCCUUUCCUCCCCAACUUGCUUCUCAGUCCUGAUGUUUGUGCAGGAAUAGAAACCCUGACUACGACACUCAUGUUCUUUAUCACAGCAGUAAAAACCCAACUAAGACACAUGGAUUGCAGCAUAACAAGUGCCUAUCAUCCCAGCCCUUGGGAAGUGGAGAUACGGAGAGAUCCCUGGGGCUUGCUGACUAAACCAGCCUAUCUGAAUCACUGAGCUCCAGGUGAAAGGCCCUGUCUCAAAAGUAAUGUGGGAGCCGAGGAGCUGGCUCAUCAGGGAAGGCAUCUACUGUGAGCAAGUGAAAGUCUGUUGACCUGAGCUUGAUCCACAGAACCCACAUAGAGGUGGAAGGAGAGAACCGAGUCCACAAAGUUGUCCUCGGAUUUGCACAAAGGCAUAGGAAGUCAAUGAGUGAGUAAAUAACUUACAGGGAUGACGGAGUGCGAUCGAAAGGUACCCUUCACGAAAAGUUUACACACACUGAAAGUGGUGUGAGGAGGGUCAGGCGAGUUCUUGGAGGGUGUGCUGAGCUCUGCUGCUGUGUCUGGGCACGUCUGGGCCUAUGUGUGACUCGGAAUGGUAAGAUCAUCAGAGAUGAGCGCUAAGGCAGAGACUGCCUUGGCCCCCUCGUGUUGAAGGCUCACAGUUGUCCACUCAG
ensembl:lncRNA